AAUUUCAGCUGAAAAAGUCAUGAACAUAAAAGUUGUAGAGCUCAUCAAGACAUACAACUUUUAUUUUGGUCAUUUCUUCAUCCGAUAAAGUGAUAGUAACAUUGUUCACAAAGUUUACUUCUCUCUUAUAGUUUAUAGAACCAAAUAAGAUAGAUGUAAAUUUUAUGAACAAUGUUACUAUCACUUUGUCGGAUGAAGAAACAACCAAAAUAAAAGUUAUAGAUCUUGAUGAGUUAUACAACUUUGUUGUUGAUAACUUUUUCAGUUGAAAUC
rnacentral:pre_miRNA from 1 species